rnacentral:rRNA from 1 species
UACGAGGGGUGCAAGCGUUAUUCGGAAUUAUUGAGCGUAAAGGGUGCGUAGACGGCAUAUUAAGUCAACUGUUAAAAACUCCGGCCUAACUGGAGGUCAGCGGUAGAUACUGAUAAGCUAGAGGAUGGAAGAGAGAAGUGGAAUUCUUGGAGUAGCGGUAAAAUGUGUAGAUCUCAAGAGGAACACCGAUGGCGAAGGCAGCUUCUUGGUCCAUUUCUGACGUUGAGGCACGAAAGCGUGGGGAGCAAACAGG